UCUUCUCCUCUUCUCCUCGAUCCCCCUUCCUCACAAUUCAUCGCAUUCGCCCGAUCCAUUUGAUCGUCAAAUCCUUUCUUCUCCCCUCGGCAUCGUCGGCGGGGAUCUACCGUUAGAGCUUCGAGAGGGAGCUAGCGUCACCCGAUCCUCCUCUUCUCUGAUUUCCGCAAGCUGUAGCACCGAGCCUUUCAUCUUCUUUCCAUCACCGCACCGACUUCCUUCGUCAGAGUGAAAUCGCAGCCAUGGGCAUCAGAUCUAGACCCUCGCCGGCUGUUCAGGAGGAGUAAUAGCAACUGUACUCUCUAUCCUAUACCCGAUCUCUCUUUCCGCUUUUCACUGGAAGUAUUUUGUUGUCCUGCGGUGCUCUUGGAGAUAGUUGUUUCCCUUGGUUCCGGCCACCACAUCGCCGAUAGUUUGCAGCCAACUUCGUCACAUCCAUUGCCACUGCAAGCUUCUAAAGAGGAAGAGGUGUUACGAGCAGAUCCAUUAUUGAUCCCCCGAUGAGUUUACUAAUCAUUAUACCGUAUGAGUCGAUUCCAGAUUGGGUAAUAGAUAGAUGAUUAUAGAGUCGGUUGGAGUAUCCUGUCUACCGAUUCCACGUCACAUCCGAGGAUGGUUUCUACUUUUAUUUUCUACUUUACUUGUAUUACGCAUUUGGUGGACUUAGUAUUGUAUAAUUCAACUUUGCUUUGGAGUUUGUUAUGUGGAGUUUCCUAUUUGCUUUGUUGUGGUCAUGUAAAGCCUAGCCGGCUAGCAGUCAGUCGUUUUGGUUUAUGGGUUUUCCUUUCACUUUCCUUGUGUUUUUAGUACAGUCGUGUGGGCUGCUUAUUAUACAACUGUGUGGUUAUAUUCUUUUUACUCCAUCCAUGUGGGUUGUAUAAAUAA